AUAGUAUUAUCUCCGUCCGAAAAUUCUUGUCUUACAUUUAUCUAGAUAUGGAUGUGUCUAACACUAAGAUGUGACUAGAUCCAUCUAUAUAUAGACAAAUGUAAGACAAGAAUUUUGGGAUAGAGAGAGUAGUAA
rfam:Triticum aestivum genome assembly, contig: Triticum_aestivum_CS42_TGACv1_scaffold_577489_7BL